rnacentral:misc_RNA from 1 species
AAAUUUUUUUUCCCCAAUCAAGCUAGAACAAACCACUAAUAUUGCAUUUACCGACAUGAAUUGAAAUUGGAAUUCUGAAUUUUCUUCGCCACUAGACAAUUGAGAUUAGAUAUUAAUGUAGAACAUUGAACACUCAACGUUUUAGAUAUUAUCAUAUUCAUUCUUCAGUUCAACUCACAAAUUUUUUUAGUCCAACAACAUUGAACCAGAGCUCAAAUCUUCCACUCUUAUCUGGUCAUGCCUCCUUCCACCGCUGGUG